GCACAAGCAGUGGAGUAUGUGGUUUAAUUCGAAGCAACGCGAAGAACCUUACCAGGUCUUGACAUCCGAUGCAUAGCGCAGAGAUGCGUGAAGUCCUUCGGGACAUCGAGACAGGUGGUGCAUGGUUGUCGUCAGCUCGUGUCGUGAGAUGUUGGGUUAAGUCCCGCAACGAGCGCAACCCUUAUUGCCAGUUACUACGUAAGAGGACUCUGGCGAGACUGCCGUUGACAAAA
rnacentral:rRNA from 1 species